rnacentral:rRNA from 1 species
AGUGAACGCUGGCGGUAGGCCUAACACAUGCAAGUCGAACGGCAGCACAGUAAGAGCUUGCUCUUACGGGUGGCGAGUGGCGGACGGGUGAGGAAUACAUCGGAAUCUACUUUUUCGUGGGGGAUAACGUAGGGAAACUUACGCUAAUACCGCAUACGCCCUACGGGGGAAAGCAGGGGAUCUUCGGACCUUGCGCGAUUGAAUGAGCCGAUGACGGAUUAGAUAGUUGGCGGGGUAAAGGCCCACCAAGGCGACGAUCCGUAGCUGGUCUGAGAGGAUGAUAGGCCACACUGGAACUGAGACACGGUCCAGACGCCUGCGGGAGGCAGCAGUGGGGAAUAUUGGACAAUGGGCGCAAGCAUGAUCCAGCCAUACCGCGUGGGUGAAGAAGGCCUUCGGGUUGUAAAGCCCUUUUGUUGGGAAAGAAAGGCAGCAGGUUAAUACCCCGCUGUUCUGACGGUACCCAAAGAAUAAGCACCGGCUAACUUCGUG